AGCUCCAAUAGCGUAUAUUAAAGUUGUUGCAGUUAAAAAGCUCGUAGUUGAAUUUCUGGUCAAUUUUAGUUUUGGCUUCGGUCAGUCUAAGGUUGGCCAUCCGUCUGCAAGCUGUUGUCGUCCUUCACUGUGUCGCUUCAGCGAGCUGACAUUUUACUUUGAAAAAAUUAGAGUGUUUCAGGCAGGCUUUUGCCCGAAUACAUUAGCAUGGAAUAAUGGAAUUGGACUCUGGUCCAUUUGGUUGGUUAUUGGAUCUGAGUAAUGGUUAAUAGGGACAGUUGGGGGCAUUAGUAUUUAAUUGUCAGAGGUGAAAUUCUUGGAUUUAUUAAAGACUAACUUAUGCGAAAGCAUUUGCCAAGGAUGUUUUCA
rnacentral:rRNA from 1 species